ACUCAAAGGAAUAGACGGGGGCCCGCACAAGCAGUGGAGUAUGUGGUUUAAUUCGAAGCAACGCGAAGAACCUUACCAGGUCUUGACAUCCCUUGCAUAACCUAGAGAUAGGCGAAGCCCUUCGGGGCAAGGAGACAGGUGGUGCAUGGUUGUCGUCAGCUCGUGUCGUGAGAUGUUGGGUUAAGUCCCGCAACGAGCGCAACCCUUGUGAUUAGUUGCUACGCAAGAGCACUCUAAACAGACUGCCGUUGACAAAACGGAGGAAGGUGGGGAUGACGUCAAAUCAUCAUGCCCCUUAUGACCUGGGCUACACACGUACUACAAUGGCGGCAAACAGCGGGGAGCGAAAUGGCGACAUGGAGCAAAUCCCAAAAAGCCGUCUCAGUUCGGAUUGCAGGCUGCAACCCGCCUGCAUGAAGUCGGAAUUGCUAGUAAUCGCGGAUCAGCAUGCCGCGGUGAAUACGUUCCCGGGCCUUGUACACACCGCCCGU
rnacentral:rRNA from 1 species